rnacentral:tRNA from 1 species
AGCAGUAUGGCUUAGUGGAUAAAGCUCAGGCCUGGGAGUCAGAAGGACCUGAGUUCUAAUCCCAGCUCUGCUA